CAGCAGCCGCCGCGGUAGACAGAGGAUGCAAGCGUUAUCCGGAAUGAUUGGGCGUAAAGCGUCUGUAGGUGGCUUUUCAAGUCCGCCGUCAAAUCCCAGGGCUCAACCCUGGACAGGCGGUGGAAACUACCAAGCUGGAGUACGGUAGGGGCAGAGGGAAUUUCCAGUGGAGCGGUGAAAUGCGUUGAGAUCGGAAGGAACGCCCGUGGCGAAAGCGAGGUCCUGGACGUCUGCUGACGCUGAGACGCGAAAGCCAGGGGAGCGAACGGGAUUAGAUACCCCCGUAGUCCCUGUCUCUUAUACA
rnacentral:rRNA from 1 species